GACGAACGCUGGCGGCGUGCCUAAUACAUGCAAGUCGAGCGGACCACUUCGGUGGUCAGCGGCGGACGGGUGAGUAACACGUGGGCAACCUGCCUGUAAGACUGGGAUAACACCGGGAAACCGGUGCUAAUACCGGAUAAUCCUUUCCUUCACAUGAAGGGAAGCUGAAAGACGGUUUCGACUGUCACUUACAGAUGGGCCCGCGGCGCAUUAGCUAGUUGGUGAGGUAACGGCUCACCAAGGCAACGAUGCGUAGCCGACCCGAGAGGGUGGUCGGCCACACUGGGACUGAGACACGGCCCAGACUCCUACGGGAGGCAGCAGUAGGGAAUCUUCCGCAAUGGACGAAAGUCUGACGGAGCAACGCCGCGUGAGCGAUGAAGGCCUUCGGGUCGUAAAGCUCUGUUGUCAGGGAAGAACAAGUACCGGAGUAACUGCCGGUACCUUGACGGUACCUGACCAGAAAGCCACGGCUAACCACGUGCCAGCCGCCGCAGUAA
rnacentral:rRNA from 1 species